GCACCUACCGAUUGAAUGGUUCGGUGAAAAUCUCGGACUGCGGCUUGGAUGCCUUCGGGCAACCAAGUUGUGGAAAGUUGUUUAAACCUCAUCAUUUAGAGGAAGGUGAAGUCGUAACAAGGUUUCCGUAGGUGAACCUGCAGAAGGAUCAAGAUCGGAAGAGAGACGUGUGGGGAGAGAGUGUAGAUCUCGGUGGGCGCCGGAUCAUUCAAAAAAAAAAAAAGAACAAGAACAGAAGGAAACGAUGGCAAGACGACAGAAGAAAUGAAGUGAUUG
rnacentral:misc_RNA from 1 species